CAGCAGCCGCGGGAAUACGUAGGGUGCGAGCGUUAAUCGGAAUUACUGGGCGUAAGGCGUGCGCAGGCGGUUUUGUAAGACAGGCGUGAAAUCCCCGGGCUCAACCUGGGAAUGGCGCUUGUGACUGCAAAGCUAGAGUGCGGCAGAGGGGGAUGGAAUUCCGCGUGUAGCAGUGAAAUGCGUAGAUAUGCGGAGGAACACCGAUGGCGAAGGCAAUCCCCUGGGCCUGCACUGACGCUCAUGCACGAAAGCGUGGGGAGCAAACAGGAUUAGAUACCCGCGUAGUCCCUGUCUCUUAUAC
rnacentral:rRNA from 1 species